UAUCUCUGUAGAGUCUGCAUAUCAAUAAGCGGAGGAAAAGAAACUAACUAGGAUUCCCUCAGUAACGGCGAGUGAAGGCGGGAAGAGCUCAAAUUUGAAAUCUUCAAGGUUCUACCUUGACGAAUUGUAGUUUAAAGAAGUGUUUUCUGUUGGAGUUUUGGUAAAAGUUCUUUGGAAUAGGACAUCAUAGAGGGUGAGAAUCCCGUAUUUGACCAUUAUUUCCAGCUUUGUGACACACUUUCAAAGAGUCGGAUUGUUUGGGAAUGCAGUCCAAAAUGGGUGGUAAAUUUCAUCUAAAGCUAAAUAUUGGCGAGAGACCGAUAGCGAACAAGUACCGUGAGGGAAAGAUGAAAAGAACUUUGAAAAGAGAGUUAAACAGUACGUGAAAUUGUCAAAAGGGAAGCGUUUGACACCAGUGUUGUUUUCUCGAAAAUCAAUUAAAAAAGGCAGGAUUUUGUGUUGUAUUGACUUUAUCAGCUUUCCUGCACUCUUUUCUUGUCUUUUUUAAUUGCACUUUUCGUUUAACAAGUCAACAUCAAUUUCUUUUGUUGUAAAAGGGUCAUUGGAAGGUGGCUUUCUUUUCGGAGAAAGUGUUUAUAGCCUUUGGCCUCUGCAAUCGGAGAGAUUGAGGUCUGCAGCGUAGAUCCUUCGGGGUUAGAUACAUUUGUGCUAAGUUAUAGCCUUUCAUAGACAACUUGUUGACUAUGAUCAGUCAUGUAGCUUACUCGCUUAUGCUAUUUUACCUACGCUUAGGAUGUUGACGAUCAGCUGAGCGCG
rnacentral:rRNA from 1 species